rnacentral:ncRNA from 2 species
UUCUUAUCCAGAGUGGCGGAGGGACUGGCCCGAUGAUGCCCGGCAACCCAUUAAAUGCUUGCGAUUUGAUCCAACUUGUCGACAAAUUUGAUUUAUCGACAACUCGAUCAGAGAAGGAAGCUUUGAUAAGGUGCUAAUUCCUGCAGAGAAAUUCUCUGAGAGAUGAGAC